GUGCCAGCAGCCGCGGUAAUACGGAGGGUGCGAGCGUUGUUCGGAAUUAUUGGGCGUAAAGCGCGUGUAGGCGGUUUUUUAAGUCUGAUGUGAAAGCCCCGGGCUCAACCUGGGAAGUGCAUUGGAAACUGGGAGACUUGAAUACGGGAGAGGGCAGUGGAAUUCCUGGUGUAGGAGUGAAAUCCGUAGAUAUCAGGAGGAACACCGGUGGCGAAGGCGGCUGCCUGGACCGAUAUUGACGCUGAGACGCGAAAGCGUGGGGAGCAAACAGGAUUAGAUACCCUGGUAGUCC
rnacentral:rRNA from 1 species